UCUCUUUGAAACUUAUCUUCAGCAAAAGCAGUUAUCCUUUUGUCAAACCUAUGAAAAGAGCAAGAGAACACAUCAAAUAUGACAGGGAUAUAAACGGGCUAAAUCAUCUUUGACAAAGUCAUGAAGUGCAGCUGCAAACUCCACUCCAGUUGGUCCACCUCCAACAAUAGCAAAAUGAAGAAUUCUCUUCUUUUCUUCCUCACUUAUAUCAGGCAAAUUUGCUCUCUCAAAACAGUCAAUAACUGUUCUUCUAAUCUUCUGGGCAUCUUCAACUUCCUACACACCCACAAGAUAAGUAAAAAGUAAAAACCAGAGGCAUGCAUACAGAUUACAGGAAUAAGCAGAAUCCAAUGAAACAUCUUUUGUCACCAUAAUAACUAUGGAUUAUGGACAUGAUGAAAGCUACCUUCAAAAAGUGACAAUUCUCCACCACUCCUGGUGUGUUAAAUGUAUUGACAGUAGCGCCCACGCCGAUGAUUAGAUAGUCAUAGUCCACUUCAUAUUCUUCUUUCCCAUUCAAAUUAUUGUUUCCUUUAGAUCGACAAUAAAUUUUCUUAUUUUCCGCAUCAAUCUUGUAACAUUCUGCUUCAUUGAAUUGCACGUUCACCUUUUUCUGCUCA